rnacentral:rRNA from 1 species
GGGCUAAACACACCACCGAAACUACGGGUGCCACGUAAGUGGCGCGAUAGGAGAGCGUUCUAAGGGCGAUGAAGUCAGACCGUGAGGACUGGUGGAGCGCUUAGAAGUGAGAAUGCCGGUAUGAGUAGCGAAAGACAGGUGAGAAUCCUGUCCACCGUAUGACUAAGGUUUCCUGGGGAAGGCUCGUCCUCCCAGGGUUAGUCGGGACCUAAGGCGAGGCCGAAAGGCGUAGUCGAUGGAUAACAGGUUGAGAUUCCUGUACCAGGUGAACAUGUUUGAACGAUGGAGGGACGCAGAAGGCUAACGGAUCCCAGCUGCUGGAUAUGCUGGGUUAAAUAAUAAGUCUUAGAUCGAGUUAAAUGCUUUAUCUUUUAAGGACAAGUUAUGAUGAGGACCGAAAUAAAGUAGGGAAGUCCGUGAUGUCACGCUGCCGAGAAAAGCUUCUAGUUAGUGUUUACCUGCCCGUACCGCAAACCGACACAGGUAGUCGAGGAGAGCAUCCUAAGGUGAGCGAGUGAACUCUCGUUAAGGAACUCGGCAAAAUGACCCCGUAACUUCGGGAGAAGGGGUGCUCAGCGAAAGCUGAGCCGCAGUGAAUAGGCCCAGGCGACUGUUUAUCAAAAACACAGGUUUCUGCAAAAUCGUAAGAUGACGUAUAGGGGCUGACGCCUGCCCGGUGCUGGAAGGUUAAAAGGAGYGCUUAGUUUCGGCGAAGGUACGAAUUGAAGCCCCAGUAAACGGCGGCCGUAACUAUAACGGUCCUAA